rnacentral:rRNA from 1 species
GAAGGAUGCAAGCGUUAUCCGGAUUCAUUGGGUUUAAAGGGAGCGUAGGUGGUCUACUAAGUCAGUGGUGAAAGCCGGUCGCUUAACGAUCGAAUUGCCAUUGAUACUGGUGGACUUGAGUGCAGAUGCUGUGGGCGGAAUAUGACAUGUAGUGGUGAAAUACAUAGAGAUGUCAUAGAACACCGAUUGCGAAGGCAGCUCACAAAACUGUAACUGACACUGAGGCUCGAAAGUGCGGGGAUCAAACAGGAUUAGAUACCCUGGUAGUCCGCACUGUAAACGAUGAUAACUCGCUGCUGGGGGGUAACCUUCAGUGGCUAAGCGAAAGCGAUAAGUUAUCCACCUGGGGAGUACGCCGGCAACGGUGAA